rnacentral:sRNA from 1 species
GUCAGGUGUGUUGGCGCACACCUGUAAUCCCAGCCACUUGGGAGGCUGAGGCAGGAGCAUCAAAAGUUCAAGACAGCAUGGGCAAUUUAGCAAGGUCCUGUCUCAA